UUCCAGACUCCUACGGGAGGCAGCAGUGGGGAAUAUUGCACAAUGGGGGGAACCCUGAUGCAGCGACGCCGCGUGGGUGAAGGAGCACCUCGGUGCGUAAAGCCCUAUCAGCAGGGAAGAAGAAAUGACGGUACCUGAGUAAGAAGCACCGGCUAAAUACGUGCCAGCAGCCGCGGUAAUACGUAUGGUGCAAGCGUUAUCCGGAUUUACUGGGUGUAAAGGGAGCGCAGGCGGCACGGCAAGCCUGAUGUGAAAGCCCGCGGCCCAACCGCGGGACUGCAUUGGGAACUACCGGGCUGGAGUGCCGGAGAGGUAGGCGGAAUUCCUAGUGUAGCGGUGAAAUGCGUAGAUAUUAGGAGGAACACCAGUGGCGAAGGCGGCCUGCUGGACAGAAACUGACGUUGAGGCUCGAAAGCGUGGGGAGCAAACAGGAUUAGAUACCCCCGUA
rnacentral:rRNA from 1 species